AACGAACGCUGGCGGCAGGCCUAACACAUGCAAGUCGAGCGAGGUAGCAAUACCUAGCGGCGGACGGGUUAGUAACGCGUGGGAACGUGCCCAAAGGUACGGAAUAGCCUCGGGAAACUGAGAGUAAUACCGUAUGUGCCCUUCGGGGGAAAGAUUUAUCGCCUUUGGAUCGGCCCGCGUUGGAUUAGGUAGUUGGUGGGGUAAUGGCCUACCAAGCCGACGAUCCAUAGCUGGUUUGAGAGGAUGAUCAGCAACACUGGGACUGAGACACGGCCCAGACUCCUACGGGAGGCAGCAGUGGGGAAUCUUAGACAAUGGGGGAAACCCUGAUCUAGCCAUGCCGCGUGAGCGAUGAAGGCCUUAGGGUUGUAAAGCUCUUUCAGCUGGGAAGAUAAUGACGGUACCAGCAGAAGAAGCCCCGGCUAACUCCGUGCCAGCAGACGCGGUAAAGUAGUCGUGU
rnacentral:rRNA from 1 species